rnacentral:rRNA from 1 species
AGCCCAGCACCGAAGCCCGUGUCCAUUUGGAUGCAGGGCAAUGUGGUGUUAAGGUGGGUACUUUUGAGUGCUGCUCUGUCCCAAGUCCAAGCUUGAAUAUGGCUUUUGUUCAGGCCCAGAGAGGGUGAAAGGCCCGUGGGGACUGGAGUGGUGCUUGACUGUGCCUGCUAUGGAGUCGGGUUGUUUGUGAAUGCAGCCCAAAGUUGGUGGUAAACUCCAUCUAAGGCUAAAUACUGGCACGAGUCCGAUAGCGAACAAGUACCGUGAGGGAAAGUUGAAAAGUACUCUGAAGAGAGAGUAAACAGUGCGUGAAACCGCUUGGAGGUAAACGGGUGUAGUCAAGCUGCAAGCCCCGAGGAUUCAACCGAUGAGUAUGGCGCGAGCCUGGGCACAUUGAGUGGUUGGAGAGGACCGUCAGAGGCGGACAAGACUUGCUCUCGUGGUAGGUCUUGGGCGAGGGCGUAAUUGUGACGUCGCGCGCUUCUCUUUCCAUGCUCAGCUUGUCGGUGCAUUUCUUCGGGGCGUCAGCCACGACCGUCGUUGCUGUCGGUCUGCUCUAGCUAAACCUGCUGAGCUGGGUCUUGUGCUCAUGUUCAGUAGGCUGGCAGGUAACCUGAUAAGUCUUCUGAUUUCUUGGGUGUAAUACGGCUGGCUAGAGUGGUACUUAUAACUGUGCAGUGCGGCGGAGAUUGCGGCCCGGUGUGGCGUGGCGUGCUAAAGUAUGUUGGCGCAGUUUAAGUUUGGCCGCUUGUUGCCGAUUCAGUUCGGCCUUGUGGUGGCUUGUCUGCGGUUUGAUGUACGGUGGCGUCCGCUCAUCCCAUGCGUGGUGCCUACAGUCUGUGGCGUCGUAGUGGUAGACGAUCCACCCGACCCGUCUUGAAACACGGACCAAGGAGUUUAACUCAUGCGCGAGUCAAUGGGCUAUAUUUUCUUACGAAACCCAAAGGCGCAAUGAAAGUAAAGGUUUUAGUGGUUCUCGGACUGCUUGACUGAGGUGAGAUCCUGCUGUUUCUCGAGCUAGCCACGACUAGGCACUAGAGCAGUGGGCGCAUCACCGGCCCGUCCCAUGGUGUAGCAUGCUCUCGGGUGUGCAGCAUCGGGGCGGAGCAUGAGCGCAUGAGUUGAGACCCGAAAGAUGGUGAACUAUGCUUGCGCAGGUUGAAGCCGGAGGAAACUCUGGUGGAGGACCGUAGCGAUUCUGACGUGCAAAUCGAUCGUAUGACGUGAGUAUAGGGGCGAAAGACUAAUCGAACCAUCUAGUAGCUGGUUCCCUCCGAAGUUU